rnacentral:rRNA from 1 species
CCUACGGGAGGCACCAGUGAGGAAUAUUGGUCAAUGGGCGGAAGCCUGAACCAGCCAAGUAGCGUGCAGGAUGACGGCCCUACGGGUUGUAAACUGCUUUUGCGGGAGGAUAAAUUCGCCCACGUGUGGGCGCUUGCAGGUAUCCCGCGAAUAAGGACCGGCUAAUUCCGUGCCAGCAGCCGCGGUAAUACGGAAGGUCCGGGCGUUAUCCGGAUUUAUUGGGUUUAAAGGGAGCGCAGGCGGAGAUGCAAGCGUGCCGUGAAAUCGCGGGGCUCAACCCCGCCCAUCGGCGCGAACUGCAUCCCUUGGUUGAGGGAGAGGAAGGUGGAACUCGUGGUGUAGCGGUGAAAUGCAUAGAUAUCACGAAGAACUCCGAUCGCGAAGGCAGCCUUCCGGCCCGUUAACGACGCUCAUGCUCGAAGGCGCGGGUGUCAAACAGGAUUAGAUACCCUUGUAGUC